rnacentral:rRNA from 1 species
UUUUGCCUACGGGGCGCAGCAGUGAGGAAUAUUGGUCAAUGGGCGAGAGCCUGAACCAGCCAAGUCGCGUGAAGGAUGACGGCCCUACGGGUUGUAAACUUCUUUUGUCAGGGAGCAAUUGAGUCCACGUGUGGGCUUAGCGAGAGUACCUGAAGAAAAAGCAUCGGCUAACUCCGUGCCAGCAGCCGCGGUAAUACGGAGGAUGCGAGCGUUAUCCGGAUUUAUUGGGUUUAAAGGGUGCGUAGGCGGAUUUUUAAGUCAGCGGUAAAAUGUCCGGGCUCAACCCGGGCCGGCCGUUGAAACUG